rnacentral:rRNA from 1 species
UCCUAACUCUUUCUUCGUGCUUAACACAUGCAAGUCGAACGGAAAGGCUCCAGCUUGCUGGAGUACUCGAGUGGCGAACGGGUGAGUAACACGUGGGUAAUCUGCCCUGCACUCUGGGAUAAGCCUGGGAAACUGGGUCUAAUACUGGAUAUGACCUUUCUCCUUAUGGGGUUUGGUGGAAAGUUUUUCGGUGUAGGAUGAGCCCGCAGCCUAUCAGCUUGUUGGUGGGGUGAUGGCCUACCAAGGCGACGACGGGUAGCCGGCCUGAGAGGGUGAUCGGCCACAUUGGGACUGAGAUACGGCCCAGACUCCUACGGGAGGCAGCAGUGGGGAAUAUUGCACAAUGGGCGGAAGCCUGAUGCAGCGACGCCGCGUGAGGGAUGACGGCCUUCGGGUUGUAAACCUCUUUCAGCAGGGACGAAGCGUAAGUGACGGUACCUGCAGAAGAAGCACCGGCUAACUAUGUG